GACAGCAUCCCUGCGGGCUUUCCUGUUUCAGUUCCGGCAGCCCUUGGUCAGUGGCCUCUCACCGUCAGGAGCAGCCCGUACAUCAGCAGCAGGGUGGCCGCCAGCAACAAGCUCGUGCUCUCCAGCAACCACAUCAGCACAGUCAUCAGCCUCUUGGGGGAGACGGACAUCCACUACGUGCAGGAGCCUGUGGACGACACACCUACUUCGCAGCUCGACACCGCCCCCCCCACCCCGCCCCCAGCAGACCGCAUCACAAGGUGGAGAGGAAGCAGGGCCGUACCCUGCCACAAUGUGCUGUUGGCUGAGCCCCUCUGCCACCCUCUGUCUCGCCUAUCUCCUGAAGUACCAGGCCAUGUCCCUGCUGGACACGCACACAUGGACCAAGUCCUGCCAGCUCAUCCUCCAGCCCAAAAAUGGCUUUUGGGAACAGCUCAUCUACCAUGAGUUCCCGCUGUUUGGCAAGAACACCAUGACCAUGGUCACUUCCCCCAUGGACAUGAUCCCUGACGUCUAG
rnacentral:lncRNA from 1 species